UAGUGUGCAACGAUCUCUAGUUCCUGGUUUCCUCCGUCUUCCUGGUAAAAUGUUUAAAACGGCAGCCGCUGGGGGACUAGCAGCUGACAUUCUGCAUGCCGGGUAGGGUCGGACAUGGCGGAAAGUAGUACGGACGAAAUUGAGGAAAUUGAGGAAAAACUGGAUUUAGCAACAGCUGUGCUGGAAUGAGAACAAUAGCGGUGUCAGUUCUGAUGGUAUGGAGCGGGAGGAUGAGGGUCAAGGACCGGAAUGGUCGGUAGUGGAAAGACGUUGGAAGAAGAGAGAUUAUGAUACCGAAAACAUAAAGAGGGCUAAGGACAAUGACCCAACACACCUCCAGGCUGUGUAAGGGCUAUUUGACCAAGAAGGAGAGUGAUGGAGUGAUGCAUCAGAUGACCUGGCCUCCACAAUCAUAUGACCUCAACCCAAUUGAGAUGGUUUGGGAUGAGUUGGACCGCAGAGUGAAAGAACAGCAGCCAACAAGUGCUCAGCAUAUGUGGGAACUCCUUCAAGACUGUCGGAACAGCAUUCCAGGCCCUCCUCCUCCUCAGUGCUUGUGGUGAGGGUGGAGAAUGUGGCGAUACCAGACUAACUCUCAGAGGACGAGAGUCCCAAGACGGCGACAGACAGGGCUGUGUCGUGUCCCGCACCGCAGCCAAGAAUGACGCCUUUGGCAGCUGGCUUUAGCUCUGAAGGCAGUUUCCUCACCUGAUCUUUCUACUGGUGAAACUGGUGCCCUUAAGAGCCGGUAUGGCUGCUCACAGAGGCUUUUGGACUGGUGCCCUUAGGAGCCGGUAUGGCUGCUCACAGGGGCUUUUGGACUGGUGCCCUUAGGAGCCGGUAUGGCUGCUCACAGGGGCUUUUGGACUGGUGCCCUUAGGAGCCGGUAUGGCUGCUCACAGAGGCUUUUGGACUGGUGCCCUUAGGAGCCGGUAUGGCUGCUCACAGGGGCUUUUGGACUGGUGCCCUUAGGAGCCGGUAUGGCUGCUCACAGAGGCUUUUGGACUGGUGCCCUUAGGAGCCGGUAUGGCUGCUCACAGAGGCUUUUGGACUGGUGCCCUUAGGAGCCGGUAUGGCUGCUCACAGAGGCUUUUGGACUGGUGCCCUUAGGAGCCGGUAUGGCUGCUCACAGAGGCUUUUGGACUGGUGCCCUUAGGAGCCGGUAUGGCUGCUCACAGGGGCUUUUGGACUGGUGCCCUUAGGAGCCGGAAUGGCUGCUCACAGGGGCUUUUGGACUGGUGCCCUUAGGAGCCGGUAUGGCUGCUCACAGGGGCUUUUGGACUGGUGCCCUUAGGAGCCGGUAUGGCUGCUCACAGAGGCUUUUGGACUGGUGCCCUUAGGAGCCGGUAUGGCUGCUCACAGGGGCUUUUGGACUGGUGCCCUUAGGAGCCGGUAUGGCUGCUCACAGGGGCUUUUGGACUGGUGCCCUUAGGAGCCGGUAUGGCUGCUCACAGGGGCUUUUGGACUGGUGCCCUUAGGAGCCGGUAUGGCUGCUCACAGAGGCUUUUGGACUGGUGCCCUUAGGAGCCGGUAUGGCUGCUCACAGAGGCUUUUGGACUGGUGCCCUUAGGAGCCGGUAUGGCUGCUCACAGGGGCUUUUGGACUGGUGCCCUUAAGAGCCGGUAUGGCUGCUCACAGGGGCUUUUGGACUGGUGCCCUUCGGAGCCGGUAUGGCUGCUCACAGAGGCUUUUGGACUGGUGCCCUUAGGAGCCGGUAUGGCUGCUCACAGAGGCUUUUGGACUGGUGCCCUUAGGAGCCGGUAUGGCUGCUCACAGGGGCUUUUGGACUGGUGCCCUUAGGAGCCGGUAUGGCUGCUCACAGGGGCUUUUGAGCCCAGAUCUGAAUACAGCAGAACUGCAUCGAAGGCCCAAUCCCGAAUCAUUUUAAUUUAACCAGGCAAGUCAGUUAAGAACAAAUUCUUAUUUACAAUGACGGCCUACCAAAAGGCCUCCUACGGGGACAAAAGACACAUUACGACAAGAGACACCACACCACGACCUAACAACAUAGCAAGGCAGAAACGCAUAACACAGCAUGGUAGCAACAAAACAUGGCAGCAGCACAAAACAUGGUACAAACAUUAUUGGGCACAGACAACAGCACAAAGGGCAAGAAGGUAGAGACAACAAUGCAUCACGUGAAACAGCCACAACUGUCAGUAAGAGUGUCCAUGAUUGAGUCUUUGAAUGAAGAGUGAGGGUUUUUUUUGCAGCUCGUUCCAGUCGCUAGCUGCAGCGAACUGAAAAGAGGAGAGACCCAGGGAUGUGUCUGCUUUGGGGGGACCGUAAAUGUCCAGUGCAGUCAGUGGGUUUUCCUGAAAGUUAUAAUGUUUUUAGUGUGAGAGCUGUUUGCAAAAAAACACCUGAAACGUCUGCCUGUUUCGGUAGGAUGGUGACAUCACCGAGCGGUAAAUGAGUUAAUAGACCAAUAAGAAAGAGAGUUCCAAACCUCUCUGCCAAUAACAGCUAGUUUUCAGUUCUCCCCUCCCCACUCAGACCACUCCCAGACAGUCCUAGUCAAAUUCUUGCUCUUUGCUAAGAAGCACUUUUUUGUUGUUGUUGACCAUUUUAAUUUAAAACAUUUAAACCAUAAGGUACGUAAUUGUUACCCAGAAAUGAUUUGAUAUUAAGCUGAAAACAGCUGCAUUGGACCUUUAAAUCUCUUACAGUUGAAACUCUGCUUGUAAAACUGCCUUCAAUAUACUUUCUGAUUCUAGUUUGUUUCUUGAAAUAAAUGAUCAUGUGUAUAUAUCCCCUAAUAUAUCUUUAUAUAUUCAUGUAUCCCUCACAAUAUCUUUAUUCGUCAAAAUCAUUUCAAUGUAAACAAACCACAACCAUAAAAUUAAACUUGCAUGAAUAGGCAGACAUUUUUUAACUUAAUUAAAAACUCAAUUCCUGGGAGUGUGUUAGAAUUUAUUAGGACAACUUUUCCAAUUAUGUACAAUAGGAGGUUUCAAGACAUACAGGGGUGACCUGCAGAUCGUUUUAAGUUGGGGAGAUUCACUCAAUAUACUUUAAAAUGACUCAAAAAACCAACUCUAAAACUGUGUAGAAAUCAACAUUUACCUUCAUUCAGACAGUUUCUUGUCAGUCCAGAGCUGGCUAAUAAUCACCGAAAUUAAAACUAGACAGAUCAUCAAAAAUUUCCUUAAACAAGGUGAGGAAAUGUAACACCUCAAACGCUGAAUGUGGCGUCCGGGAUAACCAUGAGUUUGACAUCCCUGGUGUACACAGUACAAUGAAAAUGCUUAGUAUAAUGGAAGUCCUUUACUAUACCACACAGGCAACAUUAUCGUUAUUGCCAGACUUCUAUGAAAAACCCUGCAGAAGACAUAGCUGUCGAAAUGUUGGUUUAAUAAAAUUGAUUGCAUCAGU